rnacentral:rRNA from 1 species
GGCUGGCGGCAGGCCUAACACAUGCAAGUCGAGCGGUGACAUUUCUAGCUUGCUAGAAGAUGACGAGCGGCGGACGGGUGAGUAACGCGUAGAAAUCUGCCUAGUAGUGGGGGAUAGCCCAGAGAAAUUUGGAUUAAUACCGCAUACGCCCUACGGGGGAAAGGAAGGGACCUUCGGGCCUAUUGGAUGAGCCUAUGUCGGAUUAGCUUGUUGGUGAGGUAACGGCUCACCAAGGCAACGAUCCGUAGCUGGUCUGAGAGGAUGAUCAGCCACACUGGAACUGAGACACGGUCCAGACUCCUACGGGAGGCAGCAGUGGGGAAUAUUGCACAAUGGGCGCAAGCCUGAUCCAGCAAUGCCGCGUGUGUGAAGAAGGCCUGCGGGUCGUAAAGCACUUUAAGCAGGGAGGAAGGCUUAAUGGUUAAUAUCCGUUAGGAUUGACGUUACCUGCAGAAUAAGCACCGGCUAACUCCGUGCCAGCAGCCGCGGUAAUACGGAGGGUGCAAGCGUUAAUCGGAAUUACUGGGCGUAAAGCGCGCGUAGGCGGUAUUGUAAGUGGGAUGUGAAAGCCCCGGGCUCAACCUGGGAACUGCAUUCCAAACUGCAAAACUAGAGUAUGGUAGAGGGAAGUGGAAUUUCAGGUGUAGCGGUGAAAUGCGUAGAGAUCUGAAGGAACACCAGUGGCUAAUGCGACUUCCUGGACCAAUACUGACGCUGAGGUGCGAAAGCGUGGGUAGCAAAACGGGAUUAGAUCCCCCGGUAGUCCACGCCGUAAACGAUGUCUACUAGCCGUUGGGAGACUUGAUCUCUUAGUGGCGCAGCUAACGCGAUAAGUAGACCGCCUGGGGAGUACGGUCGCAAGAUUAAAACUCAAAUGAAUUGACGGGGGCCCGCACAAGCGGUGGAGCAUGUGGUUUAAUUCGAAGCAACGCGAAGAACCUUACCUACUCUUGACAUCCAGUGAACUUUCUAGAGAUAGAUUGGUGCCUUCGGGAACACUGAGACAGGUGCUGCAUGGCUGUCGUCAGCUCGUGUUGUGAAAUGUUGGGUUAAGUCCCGUAACGAGCGCAACCCUUGUCCUUAUUUGCCAGCACGUAAUGGUGGGAACUCUAAGGAGACUGCCGGUGACAAACCGGAGGAAGGGGGAGACGACGUCAAGUCAUCAUGGCCCUUACGAGCGGGGCUACACACGUGCUACAAUGGCCAGGACAAACGGUUGCAACCCCGCGAGGGUGAGCUAAUCCGAGAAACCUGGUCGUAGUCCGGAUCGCAGUCUGCAACUCGACUGCGUGAAGUCGGAAUCGCUAGUAAUCGUGAAUCAGAACGUCACGGUGAAUACGUUCCCGGGCCUUGUACACACCGCCCGUCACACCAUGGGAGUGGAUUGCACCGUGGUAAACGUGCUUAACCUUAGAGGGCGAUCACCACGGUGUGGUUCAUGACUGGGGUGAAGUCCUAACUAGAAUUUACAGCCG